rnacentral:rRNA from 1 species
AUAUUGGAAGCUUGCUUCCGAUAGGCGUCGACCGGCGCACGGGUGAGUAACGCGUAUCCGUCCUGCCCAUCACUUGGGGAUAACCUUGCGAAAGUAAGACUAAUACCCAAUGAUAUCUCAAGAAGACAUCUGAAUGAGAUUAAAGAUUUAUCGGUGAUGGAUGGGGAUGCGUCUGAUUAGCUUGUUGGCGGGGUAACGGCCCACCAAGGCAACGAUCAGUAGGGGUUCUGAGAGGAAGGUCCCCCACAUUGGAACUGAGACACGGUCCAAACUCCUACGGGAGGCAGCAGUGAGGAAUAUUGGUCAAUGGGCGAGAGCCUGAACCAGCCAAGUAGCGUGCAGGAAGACGGCCCUAUGGGUUGUAAACUGCUUUUAUAAGGGAAUAAAGUGAGUCUCGUGAGACUUUUUGCAUGUACCUUAUGAAUAAGGACCGGCUAAUUCCGUGCCAGCAGCCGCGGUAAUACGGAAGGUCCGGGCGUUAUCCGGAUUUAUUGGGUUUAAAGGGAGCGUAGGCCGGAGAUUAAGCGUGUUGUGAAAUGUAGACGCUCAACGUCUGCACUGCAGCGCGAACUGGUUUCCUUGAGUACGCACAAAGUGGGCGGAAUUCGUGGUGUAGCGGUGAAAUGCUUAGAUAUCACGAAGAACUCCGAUUG